AUUUCAGGACUAUAUUAAGUUUCCCAACUUCUGUCAUGAUAUAGUCCAAAGAGAACCUGGACCACGCAGACAUCAAACAGAACAUGACACUGACCCAUUCUAUCAGUGACGUUGUGCUGAUUGCACAGGACAGAUGAGAGGCUCGUAUACUAGAAGUCUUGUUUCACAUGUCCACAGAUGAAGAAAAAUUGUGCCCCAGCAAGGAUUAUACCCAGAGCCUCAUCCAUUCAUACCUGAUUUAGAUACUUAGAUGAUGAGUAAUAGAAAAGCAUCAUCUUUAUGUAAAUCACUGUACUUGGCUUCGUGAGAAAUAUAAAAAUGAAUUGCUUCAAUCCCUGGACUCAAGGAUCCUGUGUUACCAAGGUGGUUAUCAAACCUGGGUCAAAGUUGAAUCACCUGAGGAUCUUU
rnacentral:lncRNA from 10 species